AUUGAACGCUGGCGGCAGGCUUAACACAUGCAAGUCGAGCGGAGAGAGGUAGCUUGCUACUGAUCUUAGCGGCGGACGGGUGAGUAAUGCUUAGGAAUCUGCCAAUUAGUGGGGGACAACAUUUCGAAAGGAAUGCUAAUACCGCAUACGUCCUACGGGAGAAAGCAGGGGAUCUUCGGACCCUGCGCUAAUAGAUGAGCCUAAGUCGGAUUAGCUAGUUGGUGGGGUAAAGGCCUACCAAGGCGACGAUCUGUAGCGGGUCUGAGAGGAUGAUCCGCCACACUGGGACUGAGACACGGCCCAGACUCCUACGGGAGGCAGCAGUGGGGAAUAUUGGACAAUGGGCGGAAGCCUGAUCCAGCCAUGCCGCGUGUGUGAAGAAGGCCUUAUGGUUGUAAAGCACUUUAAGCGAGGAGGAGGCUACUUUAGUUAAUACCUAGAGAUAGUGGACGUUACUCGCAGAAUAAGCACCGGCUAACUCUGUGCCAGCCGCCGCAGUAAUAC
rnacentral:rRNA from 1 species